rnacentral:rRNA from 1 species
ACAUAUCAAUAAGCGGAGGAAAAGAAACUAACAAGGAUUCCCCUAGUAACUGCGAGUGAAGCGGGAAAAGCUCAAAUUUAAAAUCUGGCAGUCUUUGGCUGUCCGAGUUGUAAUCUAGAGAAGUAAUGCCCGUGCUGGACCGUAUACAAGUCUCCUGGGAUGGAGCAUCAUAGAGGGUGAGAAUCCCGUCUUUGAUACGGACUACCAGUGCAUUGUGGUAUGCUCUCAACGAGUCGAGUUGUUUGGGAAUGCAGCUCAAAAUGGGUGGUAAAUUCCAUCUAAAGCUAAAUAUUGGCGAGAGACCGAUAGCGAACAAGUACCGUGAGGGAAAGAUGAAAAGAACUUUGGAAAGAGAGUUAAACAGUACGUGAAAUUGCUGAAAGGGAAACGCUUGAAGUCAGUCGCGUCUGCUGGGAAUCAGCCUCGCUCCUGCGUGGUGUACUUUCUGGUAUGACGGGUCAGCAUCAGUUUUGACCACUGGAAAAAGGUGUGGGGAAUGUGACAGCUCCGGCUGUGUUAUAGCCUCAUAUUGUAUACAGUGGUUGGGACUGAGGAAUGCAGCACGCCGCAAGGCCGGGUCUUCGGACCACGUUCGUGCUUAGGAUGCUGGCAUAAUGGCUUUAAGCGACCCGUCUUGAAACACGGACCAAGGAGUCUAACAUGCCUGCGAGUGUUUGGGUGGAAAACUCGAGCGCGCAAUGAAAGUGAAAGUUGAGAUCCCUGUCGUGGGGAGCAUCGACGCCCGGACCAGAACUUUUGGGACGGAUCCGCGGUAGAGCAUGUAUGUUGGGACCCGAAAGAUGGUGAACUAUGCCUGAAUAGGGUGAAGCCAGAGGAAACUCUGGUGGAGGCUCGUAGCGGUUCUGACGUGCAAAUCGAUCGUCAAAUUUGGGUAUA